GGUUCGGUGCUGGCUCAGAUUGAACGCUGGCGGGAUGCUUUACAUGCAAGUCGAACGGCAGCACGGACUUCGGUCUGGUGGCGAGUGGCGAACGGGUGAGUAAUGUAUCGGAACGUGCCCUAGUAGCGGGGGAUAACUACGCGAAAGCGUAGCUAAUACCGCAUGCGCCUUCCCAGGAAAGCGGGGACCUUCGGGCCUCGCACUAUUAGAGCGGCCGAUAUCGGAUUAGCCCUAGU
rnacentral:misc_RNA from 1 species